rnacentral:tRNA from 1 species
GCCCCGUUAGCUCAGCUGGUAGAGCACGUCCUUGGUAAGGACGAGGUCCCGGGUUCAAAUCUCGGACGGGGCU